rnacentral:rRNA from 1 species
AUGAACGCUGGCGGCGUGCCUAAUACAUGCCGGUCGAGCGAACAGACGAGGAGCUUGCUCCUCUGACGUUAGCGGCGGACGGGUGAGUAACACGUGGAUAACCUACCUAUAAGACUGGGAUAACUUCGGGAAACCGGAGCUAAUACCGGAUAAUAUAUUGAACCGCCUGGUUCAAUAGUGAAAGACGGUUUUGCUGUCACUUAUAGAUGGAUCCGCGCCGCAUUAGCUAGUUGGUAAGGUAACGGCUUACCAAGGCAACGAUGCGUAGCCGACCUGAGAGGGUGAUCGGCCACACUGGAACUGAGACACGGUCCAGACUCCUACGGGAGGCAGCAGUAGGGAAUCUUCCGCAAUGGGCGAAAGCCUGACGGAGCAACGCCGCGUGAGUGAUGAAGGUCUUCGGAUCGUAAAACUCUGUUAUUAGGGAAGAACAAAUGUGUAAGUAACUAUGCACGUCUUGACGGUACCUAAUCAGAAAGCCACGGCUAACUACGUG